GACGAACGCUGGCGGCGUGCCUAAUACAUGCAAGUCGAACGCAGUGGGGACGGGUGAGUAACUCGUGGGUAACCUCCCCUCAGAGGGGAUAACACUUGGAAACAGGUGCUAAACCGACAUUGAUGGAUGGACCCGCGGUUCAUUAGCUAGUUGGUGAGGUAACGGCUCACCAAGGCCACGAUACAUAGCCGACAUGAGAGGGUGAUCGGCCACACAGGAACUGAGACACGGCCCAGACUGCUACGGAGGGCAGCAGUAGUGAAUCUUCGGCAAUGGACGAAAGUCUGACCGAGCAGCGCGGCGUGAGGGAAGAAGGUUUUCGGAUCGUAAAACUCUGUUGUUAGAGAAGGGGUGUCUAACCAGAAAGCCACGGCUAACUACGUGCCAGCAGCCGCGGUAAUAC
rnacentral:rRNA from 1 species